UCGAACGAACCACGCGUCAUUUACGGGCUCUUGUACGUUCUGUCUCUCGCAAAAAGCGUCAAAAGCUUUCGCGGUGAUUAUGUUUACUGACAAUUCAUCUUGAACGGACGAUCGCGAACGUUUCAUUCGAUGUUCUGCCGGCUCGUCAAUUCUUUUACAUGUGGACUGCAGCGCGAAUUCUUUCUCUCGUAUUCGGGCGAAUGUUUUUUACUCGACUUCACCAGUUGACAGUUUUUGCCCACUCCCGGUGACUCUUCCAGUGUCGGCGUUUUGGUCGAAAUUUCAUGGAGCACCUAACUCAAUCUCAAACUGGAGCCCCGGUGCGGUUCAUUCGGUGGAUAUAGUCACAGAUAGAAAGGACCCGAUCGUUGAGAGAUCCAUCAUUAUGGGGUGAUCAUUCGCAAGGAUCGGAAUGUCGUGAGCGUGAUGCGACUGCACCGUAGCUGAUAAUAGGAGUGAAACUGCAGAUUCACUCGAAUGAGGAAUAAUACCGGGUGUGCGAACGCGAGAAUAUGCUGUUGAAAAUUUUCCAAUGCCGACGUUGGACAACUAUGCGUGACUUAUCGAAGCGACGAAAAUUCAAACUAUUUUCAAGCGCAUAACUUUGACGAAAACUUUUCAUGCUUCGCUGAGAUUGUAAGGCGAAAUCCAGCGGAAUGGGAGAUACGCUAAAGUACAACAGAGAGACUUUACCGCUCAGCGACGCGAAUAAGAAAGGCGAGGAGAAAAACCGAACCGAAAAAGUGGGAUAAAACUUCAGGGAUAUAAUUGGAUCGAAUUGCGUGAGUGAUGGAGAAAGACGACGAUGCGGCAAUAUUGUCAUCUGGAUUCAAAUCGUGCUUUCAUUCAGCAUAUAAAUUGCAACAAACCUACGAUAGACGCCUGAAUAUACGCAAAAGCUUUUUUAUACCGAAAGUUUAAGUGUGAUCAGCUGUGAACAAAGUCUCUUGAUUUAAUCGAGUCGACUCACAAUUACACGGACUACAAUUGCUAGAAAAUUUUCAUUGUUCCAAGUUCAUUAUUAUUUCUACACUGUUUUUUUUUCUUUUUUUUUCAAUAAAAAUCGUUUUAUUUGCCCCUCAGGGAGUCGGAGAACGAAGGAAAGCACAUUUCCCCGUAUAGUUGGCCCACAUAUGCAUUUUUUUGUUCCAAAUGCCUUCGAGCCUCCGGAACAUGUUAGUUUUUUAAUCUGGCCAC
rnacentral:lncRNA from 1 species